CGCGCGGCGUCCCUAGCAACGCGCGCGCGGUCUUCCGGCCCCGCCCAGGCGGGCGGCAUUGCGCCUAAGCUGGGCCACAACCGCCAGUCAGGGCUCUCCCCUUCCCUCCCUCCCCCGCCCCUCCUCCUCCUCUGCCGCCCAGAGCGAGACACCAACAUGGAGCCCGAGGAUCUGCCAUGGCCGGGCGAGCUGGAGGAGGAGGAGGAGGAGGAGGAGGAGGAGGAGGAGGAGGAGGCUGCAGCGGCGGCGGCGGCGAACGUGGACGACGUAGUGGUCGUGGAGGAGGUGGAGGAAGAGGCGGGGCGGGAGUUGGACUGCGACUCUCACUACGGGCCCCAGCAUCUGGAAAGUAUAGACGACGAGGAGGACGAGGAGGCCAAGGCCUGGCUGCAGGCGCACCCCGGCAGGAUUUUGCCUCCGCCGUCGCCCCCGCAGCACCGCUACUCGGAGGGCGAGCAGACCUCCCUGGAGAAGAAAACAGAAUCUUGGCAUUGUCUUCCUCAAGAAAUGGACUCUUCCCAAACCUUGGAUACAUCCCAGACCAGGUUUAAUUUGAGAACGGAAGAUACUGAAGUGACAGACUUCCCCUCUCUGGAGGAGGGUAUAUUGACGCAAUCAGAAAAUCAAGUAAAGGAACCCAACAGAGAUCUCUUCUGUUCUCCACUGCUAGUCAUACAAGAUAGCUUUGCUUCUCCUGAUUUGCCUUUGCUGACCUGUUUGACACAAGACCAAGAAUUUGCGCCUGAUUCUUUAUUUCAUCAAAGUGAACUAAGUUUUGCAUCUCUGAGGGGAAUUCCUGAUAAGUCUGAAGAUACUGAAUGGUCUUCUCGACCAUCGGAAGUUAGUGAAGCUUUAUUCCAGGCUACUGCAGAAGUAGCCUCAGACUUAGCAAGCAGUCGCUUUAGUGUAUCUCAGCACCCGCUUAUAGGCAGCACAGCUGUUGGGUCUCAGUGCCCUUUUUUACCUUCUGAACAAGGGAAUAAUGAAGAGACUAUUUCGUCUGUUGAUGAGCUGAAAAUUCCCAAAGACUGUGAUCGUUAUGAUGAUCUUUGUUCAUAUAUGUCAUGGAAGACACGAAAAGAUACACAGUGGCCUGAAAACAAUUUAGCUGAUAAAGAUCAAGUUUCAGUUGCAACUUCAUCUGACAUAACCGAUGAAAACAUAGCUACUAAAAGAAGUGACCAUUUUGAUGCUGCUUGUUCAUAUGGGCAGUAUUGGACACAGGAAGAUUCAUCUAAGCAGGCAGAAACAUAUUUAACCAAGGGCCUGCAGGGGAAGGCUGAGUCUGACGUCAUUACUCUGGAUGGCCUAAAUGAAAAUGCUGUUGUAUGCAGUGAAAGAGUUGCUGAACUACAAAGAAAGGUGCGUCAUUCUAAUCUGGGCAUUAAUGAGUCUUUUUCAUUUUUAUUGCCUUCAUUUGUUCCACAUAAGCCAACAAGAGAGUCGGAAUAUCACUCUUCAGAUCUCAGAAUGUUGAGGAUGUCUCCUGACACUGUGCCAAAGGCUCCUAAACAUUUAAAAGCAGGAGACACUUCUAAAGGAGGCAUAGCUAAGGUUACUCAAUCCAACUUGAAGUCAGGCAUCACUACCACUCCUGUUGAUUCAGACAUUGGAUCUCAUUUAUCCUUGUCCCUUGAGGACCUGUCUCAGUUGGCUGUAAGUUCUCUUCUAGAAACUACUACUGGUCAACACACUGCUGAUACUCUCAACCAAAAGACAUUAGCAGAUACUCAUCUAACUGAAGAGACUCUGAAAGUCACAGCUAUUCCUGAACCAGCUGACCAGAAGACUGCAACACCAACAGUACUCUCUAGUUCCCACUCACAUAGGGGGAAGCCCAGCAUUUUCUACCAGCAGGGCUUGCCAGACAGUCAUCUAACUGAAGAGGCUUUGAAAGUUUCAGCUGCUCCUGGACUAGCUGAUCAGACAACUGGCAUGUCAACUCUAACCUCUACUUCCUACUCACAUAGAGAGAAGCCUGGUACUUUUUACCAACAAGAGUUACCAGAGAGUAACUUAACUGAAGAGCCUUUGGAAGUUUCAGCUGCUCCUGGCCCAGUGGAGCAGAAGACGGGAAUACCUACAGUAUCCUCUACAUCCCACUCACAUGGAGAGGACCUCCUCUUUUUCUAUCGACAGACCUUGCCAGAUGGUCAUCUAACUGAUCAGGCUCUGAAAGUUUCAGCUGUGUCUGGACCAGCCGACCAGAAGACUGGGACAGCAACAGUACUCUCUACUCCCCACUCACAUAGAGAGAAGCCUGGUAUUUUUUACCAACAAGAGUUCGCAGACAGUCAUCAAACUGAAGAGACUCUUACUAAAGUUUCAGCCACUCCUGGACCAGCUGACCAGAAGACUGAGAUACCAGCAGUACAGUCUAGUUCUUACUCACAAAGAGAAAAGCCUAGUAUUUUGUACCCACAGGAGUUAGCAGACAGUCAUCUACCUGAAGAAGGUCUGAAAGUUUCAGCUAUUGCUGGACCAGCUGACCAGAAGACUGGCCUACCAACAGUACCCUCUAGUGCAUACUCACACAGAGAGAAGCUCCUUGUUUUCUACCAACAGGCCUUGCUGGACAGCCAUCUACCCGAAGAGGCUCUGAAAGUUUCAGCUGUUUCUGGACCAGCUGACAGAAAGACUGGGACACCAACUGUAACCUCUACUUCCUCUGCAUCCUCUUCACUUGGAGAAAAGCCCAGUGCUUUCUAUCAGCAGACCUUACCCAAUAGUCAUCUAACUGAAGAGGCUCUGAAAGUAUCAGUUGUUCCUGGACCAGGUGAUCAGAAGACUGGGAUACCCUCAGCACCAUCUAGUUUCUACUCACACAGAGAGAAGCCCAUUAUUUUUUCCCAGCAGACCCUGCCAGACUUUCUUUUCCCUGAAGAAGCUCUGAAGGUUUCAGCUGUUUCUGUAUUGGCUGCCCAGAAGACUGGGACACCAACAGUGUCCUCUAAUUCUCACUCACAUAGCGAGAAAUCUAGUGUUUACUACCAGCAAGAGUUGCCAGACAGUGAUCUACCUAGAGAAUCUCUGAAAAUGUCUGCUAUUCCUGGACUGACUGACCAGAAGACUGUCCCAACACCAACAAUACCUUCAGGUUCCUUCUCACAUAGAGAGAAGCCCAGUAUUUUCUAUCAACAGGAGUUGCCAGAUAGUUAUGCAACUGAAAAGGCUCUGAAAGUUUCAACUGGCCCUGGACCAGCUGACCAGAAGACUGAGAUACCAGCAGUACAGUCUAGUUCUUACCCACAGAGGGAGGAGAAGCCUAGUGUUUUGUACCCACAGGUGUUAUCAGACAGUCAUCUACCUGAAGAGAGUCUGAAAGUUUCAGCCUUCCCUGGACCAGCUGACCAGAUGACUGACACACCAGCAGUACCGUCUACUUUCUACUCACAAAGAGAGAAGCCUGGUAUUUUCUACCAACAGACCUUGCCAGAGAGUCAUCUGCCUAAAGAGGCUCUGAAAAUUUCAGUAGCUCCUGGACUAGCAGACCAGAAGACUGGCACACCAACUGUAACCUCAACCUCCUACUCACAACAUAGAGAAAAGCCCAGCAUUUUCCACCAGCAGGCCUUGCCAGGUACUCAUAUACGUGAAGAGGCUCAGAAAGUUUCAGCUGUUACUGGACCAGGUAACCAGAAGACUUGGAUACCAAGAGUACUUUCUACCUUCUACUCACAAAGAGAGAAACCUGGUAUUUUCUAUCAACAGACGUUGCCAGGUAGUCACAUACCUGAAGAGGCACAGAAAGUUUCACCUGUUCUUGGACCAGCUGACCAGAAGACUGGGACACCAACUUCAACCUCUGCUUCUUACUCACACACAGAGAAGCCUGGUAUUUUCUACCAACAGGUCUUGCCAGAUAAUCAUCCAACUGAAGAGGCUCUGAAAAUUUCAGUUGCCUCUGAACCAGUUGACCAGACAACUGGCACACCAGCUGUAACCUCUACUUCCUACUCACAAUAUAGAGAGAAGCCCAGCAUUUUCUACCAACAGUCGUUGCCAAGUAGUCAUCUAACUGAAGAGGCUAAGAAUGUUUCAGCGGUUCCUGGACCAGCUGACCAGAAGACUGUGAUACCAAUUUUACCCUCUACUUUCUACUCACACACAGAGAAGUCUGGUGUUUUCUACCAACAGGUCUUGCCACAUAGUCAUCCAACUGAAGAGGCUCUGAAAAUUUCAGUUGCCCCUGAACCAGUUGACCAGACAACUGGCACACCAACUGUAACCUCUACUUCCUACUCACAACAUAGAGAGAAGCCGAGUAUUUUCUACCAACAGUCGUUGCCAGGUAGUCAUCUAACUGAAGAGGCUAAGAACGUUUCAGCGGUUCCUGGACCAGCUGACCAGAAGACUGGGAUACCAACUUUACCCUCUACUUUCUACUCACACACAGAGAAGCCUGGUAGUUUCUACCAACAGGUCUUGCCACAUAGUCAUCUACCUGAAGAGGCUUUGGAAGUUUCAGUUGCUCCUGGACCAGUUGACCAGACGAUUGGCACACCAACUGUAACCUCUCCUUCCAGCUCAUUUGGAGAGAAGCCCAUUGUUAUCUACAAACAGGCCUUUCCAGAUGGUCAUCUACCUGAAGAGUCUCUGAAAGUUUCAGUUGCUCCUGGACCAGUUGGCCAGACAACUGGCGCACCAACUAUAACCUCUCCUUCCUACUCACAACAUAGAGCAAAGUCUGGCAGUUUCUACCAACUGGCAUUGCUAGGUAGUCAAAUACCUGAAGAGGCUCUCAGAGUUUCUUCUGCUCCUGGACCAGCUGACCAGACAACUGGCAUACCAACCAUAACCUCUACUUCCUACUCAUUUGGAGAGAAGCCGAUUGUUAACUACAAACAGGCCUUUCCAGAUGGUCAUCUACCUGAAGAGGCUCUGAAAGUUUCCAUUGUUUCUGGACCUACUGAAAAAAAGACUGACAUACCAGCAGGACCUUUAGGUUCCAGUGCACUUGGAGAGGAGCCCAUUACUUUCUACCGGCAGGCUCUGCUAGACAGUCCUCUAAAUAAAGAGGUUGUGAAAGUUUCAGCUGCUCCUGGACCAGCUGACCAGAAAACUGAGACAUUACUGGUACAUUCUACUACCUACUCAAAUAGGGGGAAGCCUGUCAUUUUCUACCAACAGACCCUAUCAGAUAGUCAUUUACCUGAAGAAGCUCUGAAAGUUCCACCUGUUCCUGGACCAGAUGCCCAGAAGACUGAGACACCAUCAGUAUCCUCUAGUUUAUACUCAUAUAGAGAGAAGCCCAUUGUCUUCUACCAACAGGCCCUGCCAGACAGUCAGCUAACUCAAGAAGCUCUGAAAGUUUCAGCUGUUCCUCAACCAGCUGACCAGAAGACUGGGUUAUCUACUGUAACUUCCUCUUUCUAUUCACUUACAGAGAAGCCUAAUAUUCCUUACCAGCAAGAGUUGCCAGAUAGUCAUCUAACUGAAAAGGCUCUGAAAGUUUCAUAUGUUCCUGGACCAGCUGACCAGAAGACUGGGGUAUCGACAGUAACCUCUACUUCCUACUCACACAGAGAGAAGCCCAUUAUUUCCUACCAGCGAGAGUUGCCGCAUUUUACUGAAGCAGGUUUGAAAAUUUUAAGAGUUCCUGGACCAGCUGACCGGAAGACUGGAAUAAACAUCCUGCUCUCUAAUUCCUACCCACAGAGAGAGCACUCUGUCAUUUCUUAUGAGCAGGAGUUGCCAGAUCUUACUGAAGUAACUUUGAAAGCAGUAGGGGUUCCUGGGCCUGCUGACCGGAAGACUGGGAUACAAAUAGCAUCCUCUAGUUCCUACUCAAAUAGAGAGAAGGCCAGUAUUUUUCAUCAGCAGGAGUUGCCAGAUGUUACUGAAGAAGCUUUAAGUGUUUUUGUUGUUCCUGGACAAGGUGACCGGAAGACUGAGAUACCAACAGUACCUUUAAGUUACUACUCACGUAGAGAGAAGCCCAGUGUUAUCUCUCAACAGGUGUUGCCAGACAGUCAUCUCACAGAAGAGGCUCUGAAAGUUUCACCUGUUUCUAUACCAGUAGAGCAGAAGACUGGGAUACCAAUAGGACUGUCUAGUUCCUACUCACAUUCGCAUAAAGAGAAACUCAAGAUUUCAACUGUGCAUAUACCAGAUGACCAGAAAACUCAGUUUCCAGCAGCUACCCUUAGUUCCUACUCACAAAUAGAGAAGCCCAAGAUUUCAACUGUGAUUGGACCAAAUGACCAGAAGACUCCAUCCCAGACAGCUUUUCAUAGUUCCUAUUCUCAAACAGUAAAGCCCAAUAUUUUAUUUCAACAGCAGUUGCCAGAUAGAGAUCAAAGUAAAGGUAUUCUAAAGAUUUCAGCUGUCCCUGAACUAACUGAUGUGAAUACUGGAAAACCAGUAUCUCUCUCUAGUUCUUAUUUUCACAGAGAGAAAUCGAAUAUUUUCAGUCCACAGGAAUUGCCAGGUAGACAUGUAACUGAAGAUGUGCUGAAGGUUUCAACAAUUCCUGGACCAGCUGGCCAGAAAACAGUAUUACCAACAGCUCUUCCUAGUUCCUUUUCACAUCGAGAGAAACCAGAUAUUUUCUAUCAAAAGGAUUUGCCAGAUAGACAUCUAACUGAAGAUGCUCUAAAGAUCUCAAGUGCUCUUGGGCAAGCUGAUCAAAUUACUGGAUUACAAACAGUUCCCUCUGGUACUUACUCACAUGGUGAGAAUCACAAGCUUGUUUCAGAACAUGUCCAAAGGCUAAUAGAUAGUUUGAAUUCUUCUGACUCCAGUGUUAGCUCAAAUAAUGUGCUUUUAAAUUCUCAGGCUGAUGACAGAGUUGUAAUAAAUAAACCAGAAUCUGCAGGUUUUAGAGAUGUUGGCUCUGAAGAAAUCCAGGAUGCAGAAAAUAGUUCUAAAACUCUUAAGGAAAUUCGGACACUUUUGAUGGAGGCAGAAAAUAUGGCACUGAAACGAUGCAAUUUUCCUGCUCCCCUUGCCCCUUUCAGAGAUAUUAGUGAUGUUUCAUUUAUACAGUCUAAGAAGGUGGUUUGCUUCAAAGAACCCUCUUCCACGGGUGUAUCUAAUGGUGAUUUGUUUCAGAGACAGCCAUUCACAGAGGAAAGCCCAAGCAGCAGGUGCAUACAGAAGGAUAUUGGCACACAGACGAAUUUGAAAUGCCGGAGAGGCAUUGAAAAUUGGGAGUUUAUUAGUUCAACUACAGUUAGAAGUCCUCUACAGGAAGCAGAGAGCAAAGUCAGUAUGGCAUUAGAAGAAACUCUUAGGCAAUAUCAAGCAGCCAAAUCUGUAACGAGGUCUGAACCUGAAGGGUGUAGUGGAACCAUUGGGAAUAAAAUUAUUAUCCCUAUGAUGACUGUCAUAAAAAGUGAUUCAAGUAGUGAUGCCAGUGAUGGAAAUGGUUCCUGCUCGUGGGACAGUAAUUUACCAGAGUCUUUGGAAUCAGUUUCUGAUGUUCUUCUAAACUUCUUUCCAUAUGUUUCACCCAAGACAAGUAUAACAGAUAGCAGAGAGGAAGAGGGUGUGUCAGAGAGUGAGGAUGGUGGUGGUAGCAGUGUAGAUUCACUGGCUGCACAUGUGAAAAACCUUUUGCAAUGUGAAUCCUCACUGAAUCAUGCUAAAGAAAUACUCAGAAAUGCAGAGGAAGAGGAAAGCCGGGUACGAGCACAUGCCUGGAAUCUGAAGUUCAAUUUAGCACAUGAUUGUGGAUACUCCAUUUCAGAAUUAAAUGAAGAUGACAGGAGGAAAGUAGAAGAGAUCAAGGCAGAGUUAUUUGGUCAUGGAAGAACAACUGACUUGUCCAAGGGUUUACAGAGUCCACGGGGAAUGGGAUGCAAGCCAGAAGCUGUAUGUAGUCACAUUAUUAUUGAGAGCCAUGAAAAGGGAUGUUUCCGGACUCUAACUUCUGAAUAUCCACAACUAGAUAGCCACCCUUGUGCUUUCAGAUCUGCUGAACCCUCAGAAAUGACCAGAGGACGGCAGAACCCAUCAUCAUGCAGAGCCAAGCACGUCAACCUUUCUGCAUCCUUAGACCAGAACAACUCCCAUUUCAAAGUUUGGAAUUCCUUGCAGUUAAAAAGUCAUUCCCCAUUUCAGAACUUUAUACCUGAUGAAUUCAAAAUCAGCAAAGGUCUUCAAAUGCCAUUCCAUGAAAAGAUGGACCCUUGGCUGUCAGAAUUAGUAGAACCUGCUUUUGUGCCACCUAAAGAAGUGGAUUUUCAUUCUUCAUCACAAAUGCCAUCCCCAGAACCCAUGAAAAAGUUUACUACCUCCAUCACUUUUUCAUCUCACCGACAUUCUAAAUGCAUUUCCAAUUCCUCUGUUGUUAAGGUUGGUGUUACUGAAGGUAGCCAGUGUACUGGAGCAUCUGUGGGGGUAUUUAAUUCUCAUUUCACUGAAGAACAAAAUCCUCCUAGAGAUCUUAAACAGAAAACCUCUUCCCCUUCAUCAUUUAAAAUGCAUAGUAAUUCACAAGAUAAAGAAGUGACUAUUUUAGCAGAAGGUAGAAGGCAAAGCCAAAAAUUACCUGUUGAUUUUGAGCAUUCUUUUCAAGAAGAAAAACCCUUAGAAAGAUCAGAUUUUACAGGCAGUCAUUCUGAGCCCAGUACCAGUGCAAAUUGUAGCAAUUUCAAGGAAAUUCAGAUUUCUGAUAACCAUACCCUUAUUAGCAUGGGCAGACCAAGUUCCACCCUAGGAGUAAGCAGAUCGAGUUCCAGACUAGGAGUAAAAGAGAAGAAUGUAACUAUAACUCCAGAUCUUCCUUCUUGCAUUUUUCUUGAACAACGAGAGCUCUUUGAACAAAGCAAAGCCCCACGUGCAGAGGACCAUGUGAGGAAACACCAUUCUCCCUCUCCUCAACAUCAGGAUUAUGUAGCUCCAGACCUUCCUUCUUGCAUUUUUCUUGAACAACGAGAACUCUUUGAACAGUGCAAAGCCCCAUAUGUAGAUCAUCAAAUGAGAGAAAACCAUUCUCCCCUUCCUCAAGGUCAGGAUUCUAUAUCUUCAGACCUUCCUUCUCCCAUUUCUCUUGAACAAUGCCAAAGCAAAGCGCCAGGUGUAGAUGACCAAAUGAAUAAACACCAUUUUCCCCUUCCUCAAGGUCAGGAUUGUGUAGUGGAAAAGAAUAAUCAACAUAAGCCUAAAUCACACAUUUCUAAUAUAAAUGUUGAAGCCAAGUUCAAUACUGUGGUCUCCCAGUCAGCCCCAAAUCACUGUACAUUAGCAGCAUCUGCAUCUACUCCUCCUUCAAAUAGAAAAGCACUUUCUUGUGUUCGUAUAACUCUUUGUCCCAAGACUUCUUCCAAGUUGGAUAGUGGAACUUUAGAUGAAAGAUUCCAUUCAUUGGAUGCUGCUUCUAAAGCGAGGAUGAAUAGUGAGUUUAACUUUGACUUACAUACUGUAUCUUCGAGAUCACUGGAACCAACCUCCAAAUUAUUGACCAGUAAACCUGUAGCACAGGAUCAAGAAUCUUUAGGUUUUCUAGGACCUAAAUCUUCACUGGAUUUCCAAGUCGUACAGCCUUCUCUUCCAGACAGUAACACUAUUACUCAGGACUUGAAAACCAUACCUUCUCAGAAUAGCCAGAUAGUAACCUCCAGGCAAAUACAAGUGAACAUUUCAGAUUUCGAAGGACAUUCCAAUCCAGAGGGGACCCCAGUAUCUGCAGAUCGAUUACCAGAGAAGAUGAAGACUCCACUUUCUGCUUUCUCUGAAAAAUUGUCAUCUGAUGCAGUCACUCAGAUAACAACAGAAAGUCCAGAAAAGACCCUAUUUUCAUCUGAGAUUUUUAUUAAUGCUGAAGAUCGUGGACAUGAAAUUAUAGAGCCUGGUAACCAGAAGCUACGCAAAGCUCCUGUCAAGUUUGUCUCAUCAUCUUCAGUCCAACAGGUUACUUUUUCUCGUGGCACAGAUGGCCAGCCUUUAUUAUUGCCAUAUAAGCCUUCUGGUAGUACCAAGAUGUAUUAUGUUCCACAAUUAAGACAACUUCCUCCAUCUCCGGAUUCCAAAUCAGAUACCACCGUUGAAAGCUCCCAUUCAGGAUCCAAUGAUGCCAUUGCUCCAGACUUCCCAGCUCAGGUGCUAGGCACAAGAGAUGAUGACCUCUCAGCCACUGUUAACAUUAAACAUAAAGAAGGAAUCUACAGUAAGAGGGUAGUGACUAAGGCAUCCUUGCCAGUGGGAGAAAAACCCUUGCAGAAUGAAAAUGCAGAUGCCUCAGUUCAAGUGCUAAUCACUGGGGAUGAGAACCUCUCAGACAAAAAACAGCAAGAGAUCCACAGUACAAGGGCAGUGACUGAGGCUGCCCAGGCUAAAGAAAAAGAAUCUUUGCAGAAAGAUACUGCAGAUUCCAGUGCUGCUGCUGCUGCAGAGCACUCAGCUCGAGUAGGAGACCCAGAAAUGAAGAACUUGCCAGACACUAAAGCCAUUACACAGAAAGAGGAGAUCCAUAGGAAGAAGACAGUUCCCGAGGAAGCCUGGCCAAACAAUAAAGAAUCCCUACAGAUCAAUAUUGAAGAGUCCGAAUGUCAUUCAGAAUUUGAAAAUACUACCCGUUCUGUCUUCAGGUCAGCAAAGUUUUACAUUCAUCAUCCCGUACACCUACCAAGUGAUCAAGAUAUUUGCCAUGAAUCUUUGGGAAAGAGUGUUUUCAUGAGACAUUCUUGGAAAGAUUUCUUUCAGCAUCAUCCAGACAAACAUAGAGAACACAUGUGUCUUCCUCUUCCUUAUCAAAACAUGGACAAGACUAAGACAGAUUAUACCAGAAUAAAGAGCCUCAGCAUCAAUGUGAAUUUGGGAAACAAAGAAGUGAUGGAUACUACUAAAAGUCAAGCUAGAGAUUAUCCAGAACAUAAUGGACAAAUUAGUGAUCCAAAAAGGGAUCAGAAGGUCACCCCAGAGCAAACAACUCAGCACACUGUGAGUUUGAAUGAACUGUGGAACAAGUAUCGGGAGCGACAGAGGCAACAGAGACAGCCCGAGUUGGGUGACAGGAAAGAACUGUCCUUGGUGGACCGACUUGAUCGUUUGGCUAAAAUUCUUCAGAAUCCAAUCACACAUUCUCUCCAGGUCUCAGAAAGUACACAUGAUGAUAGCAGAGGGGAACGAAGUGUGAAGGAAUGGAGUGGUAGACAACAGCAGAGAAAUAAGCUUCAGAAAAAGAAGCGGUUUAAAAGCCUAGAGAAAAGCCAUAAAAAUACAGGCGAGCUUAAAAAAAGCAAGGUGCUUUCUCAUCAUCGAGCUGGGAGGUCUAAUCAAAUUAAAAUUGAACAGAUUAAAUUUGAUAAAUAUAUUCUGAGUAAACAGCCAGGUUUUAAUUAUAUAAGCAACACUUCUUCGGAUUGUCGGCCCUCAGAGGAGAGUGAGCUGCUCACAGAUACUACCACCAACAUCCUUUCCAGCACCACUUCUACUGUCGAAUCAGAUAUAUUGACCCAAACAGAUAGAGAGGUGGCUCUGCACGAAAGGAGUAGCUCUGUUUCCACUAUUGACACUGCCCGGCUGAUUCAAGCUUUUGGCCAUGAAAGAGUAUGCUUGUCACCCAGACGAAUUAAAUUAUAUAGCAGCAUCACCAACCAACAGAGGAGAUACCUUGAGAAGCGGAGCAAACACAGCAAGAAAGUGUUGAAUACAGGUCAUCCCCUAGUGACUUCUGAGCACACCAGAAGGAGACACAUCCAGGUAGCAAACCAUGUGAUUUCUUCUGACUCUAUUUCCUCUUCUGCCAGUAGUUUCCUGAGCUCGAACCCUACUUUUUGCAACAAGCAGAAUGUACACAUGUUAAACAAGGGCAUACAAGCAGGUAACUUGGAGAUUGUGAACGGUGCCAAAAAACACACUCGAGAUGUUGGGAUGACUUUCCCAACUCCAAGUUCCAGCGAGGCUAAAUUGGAAGAGGACAGUGAUGUGACUUCUUGGUCAGAAGAAAAACGUGAAGAGAAAAUGCUCUUUACCGGUUAUCCUGAGGACAGAAAGUUAAAAAAGAACAAGAAGAAUUCCCAUGAAGGAGUUUCCUGGUUUGUUCCUGUGGAAAAUGUGGAGUCUAGAUCAAAGAAGGAAAACGUGCCUAACACUUGUGGCCCUGGCAUCUCCUGGUUUGAACCAAUAACCAAGACCAGACCCUGGAGGGAGCCACUGCGGGAGCAGAACUGUCAGGGGCAGCACCUGGACGGUCGGGGCUCCCUGGCAGGCCCAGGCAGAGAGGCUGGCAGAGACCUACUGAAGCCAUUUGUGAGAGCAACCCUUCAGGAAUCGCUUCAGUUUCACAGACCUGACUUCAUCUCCCGCUCUGGGGAGCGGAUAAAGCGCCUGAAGUUAAUAGUCCAGGAGAGGAAGCUGCAGAGCAUGUUACAGACGGAGCGGGAUGCACUAUUCAACAUUGACAGGGAACGGCAGGGCCACCAGAAUCGCAUGUGCCCGCUGCCCAAGAGAGUCUUCCUGGCUAUCCAGAAGAACAAGCCUAUCAGCAAGAAGGAAAUGAUUCAGAGGUCCAAACGGAUUUAUGAGCAGCUUCCAGAAGUACAGAAAAAGAGAGAAGAAGAGAAGAGAAAAUCAGAAUAUAAGUCAUACCGGCUGCGAGCCCAGCUAUAUAAAAAGAGAGUGACCAAUCAACUUCUGGGGAGAAAAGUUCCCUGGGACUGACACAAGUUUAUUUUCCUCAGAGCCUUGGAAUUCUAUUUUAUGAACCUAGAGAAGCAGAAUCCUUACUUUUCUAAGGCCCAAAGUAAUGGAGGAAGGUUUUCAACAGCCUCACUCUAAGUUCAGCAAACCCCAGUACAAAGAUUGGCAAGGGCCAGUCAUCCACCGAGAAGGCUUCCUGGGAGGCUGGAUCCAAGAGCAGGCCCUGCCCUCAAGCACAGUUCAGAGCUUUCAGAUCCUGCCCCCUGGGCUCCCUGCCAUGAAGAGGACACUGGGAAAAGAACCCAUGGUGCAUGAGGUCAACUCAUAGUUCUUCCCUUUCUUGCUGGGCAAGAUGACUGGGGCCUCCAGUCUGCAUGUAAUCUCCAUUUGAUUUCCAAGGCAGAGAAUACCCCCUGGCUAACUUUGGAAAUGAAGGCAGCUCCAUUGUCACUCUGGAUCAAUCAAGUGCUGGUGGCUUUACUUUGGAUACUCUGAUUGUUGCGGAGAUGAGACCCAAGGCUCCACUCUGGAGAAAAUAGAGCCCUCUUGAGAGGUCAGCCAAACUUGCUAGACUUCUUAUGCGGUUUGGGGUUCAACGUUCUGGCCUGUCCCCCGAAAGUCAUGGCCAAAUUCACAUAUUCCUUUGAUGCCUGAUGCCGUCUCAUCACAGUGUUCGUCUGGCCUCACCAUUGCUCCACUAAGUCCAGGAACCUCAAGGAACUAUGAGACAGAUAAAGGAAGCUUUUCAAGAUCCACCAAUUGAGGAUAAUCAAACCUUCCACAGUCUACAACCUGGAGAUUGUGUCUUCUGGAAAUGACAUCAGAGGAAGGCUGCUCUUGACAACUCUUUGGAAGGGACUGUGCCGAGUUCUUCUCAACACCUACACUGCAGUGAAGCUUCAGGGCCUUGAAACUUGGGUCCACACCUCACAACUCAGAAGAACCUCUUCAGACUCCUGGAACUGUACAUCUGCUAGAGACUUUAAGGUAAAGCUGUCUAAGGAAAAAUCUCCAGAGCAGAUGACAUUCUAGUUGUGGACAGCUUUCCCAAGAUCACAGAUGAAGACUUCUGUAUCAUCAUGAAAGCCUUACAUUUUUUUCUUUUCUCCUCAUUUCCUGUUGCCCUAAUUCUUUCUUUUUCCCUACAGAAAAAUCCAUGGGACCAUAACCAGUGGAUGCCUUUAGCUUGAGCGUAUGCUGUAGCACAGAACCAGAGUUUGUGGGUUAUUGGGUUUGUUGUUUAUUGCC